rnacentral:rRNA from 1 species
CGUCGUGCACGCACGUCAUGUCGGCGUAUAAUACGACGGUGCCAUUCCUAUACCGGAAUUCACUGGCUUCAACGGUUGGGUUGGCGGACAGGCAAGUUCAUUGGGAAAUACCGAGGCUUAACUCUGUAAAACUGCCAUUAAUACUAUAUAUCUUUGAAUUAUUGUGGAAGUAAGCGAAUAAGUCAUGUAGCGGUGAAAUGCUUAGAGAUGACAUAGAACACUGAUUGGCGAAGGCAGCUUACUACGCGAAUAUGAUCAGCUGAGGGCAUGAAAGCGUGGGCGAUCAACCAGGAUUAGAUACCUCUGGUAGUCCACUCCGUAAACGUUGAUUACUCGACAUUAGCGAUACAGAGUUAGUGUCUGAGCGAAAGCAUUAAGUAAUCCACCUGGGAAGUACGACCGCUAGGUUGAAACUCAAAGGAAUUGGCGGGGGUCCGCACAAGCGGUGGAGCAUGUGGUUUAAUUCGAUGAUACGCGAGGAACCUUACUCUGGGCUAGAACCUGCGGUUAGACGGUGGGUGAAAGCUCACUUUGUAGCAAUUCACAGAUCGUAAGGUGGUGCAUGCGCUGUCGUCAGCUCGUGCCGUGAGGUGUUCGGGUUAAGUCCCGCAACGAGCGCAACCCCUAUCAGUAGUUGCCAACAGGUAAAGCUGGGAACUAUACUGAAACUACCGCCGUAAGGCGUGAGGAAGGAGGGGAUGAUGUCAAGUCAUCAUGGCCUAUUAUGCCCAGGGCUACACACGUGCUACAAUGGGGAGGACAAAGGGCAGCGACACAGUGAUGUGAAGCCAAUCCCAAAAACCUUCUUUCAGUUCAGAUUGGAGUCUGCAACUCGACUCCAUGAAGCUGGAAUCGUUAGUUAAUCCUUAGUAAUUGUAUAUCAGCAAUGAUACGGUGAAUACGUUCCCGGACCUUGCACACACCGCCCGUCGCCAAGCCAUGGGAGCCGGGUGUACUUAAAGUCGGUAAACCGCAAGGGAGCUUCCGCYAGGGGGCUCAGGCUGCAAAUGGGG